rnacentral:rRNA from 1 species
GACGAACGCUGGCGGCGUGCUUAACACAUGCAAGUCGAACGGAAAGGCCCUGCUUUUGUGGGGUGCUCGAGUGGCGAACGGGUGAGUAACACGUGAGUAACCUGCCCUUGACUUUGGGAUAACUUCAGGAAACUGGGGCUAAUACCGGAUAGGAGCUCCUGCUGCAUGGUGGGGGUUGGAAAGUUUCGGCGGUUGGGGAUGGACUCGCGGCUUAUCAGCUUGUUGGUGGGGUAGUGGCUUACCAAGGCUUUGACGGGUAGCCGGCCUGAGAGGGUGACCGGCCACAUUGGGACUAAGAUACGGCCCAGACUCCUACGGGAGGCAGCAGUGGGGAAUAUUGCACAAAGGGCGGAAGCCUGAUGCAGCAACGCCGCGUGCGGGAUGACGGCCUUCGGGUUGUAAACCGCUUUCGCCUGUGACGAAGCGUGAGUGACGGUAAUGGGUAAAGAAGCACCGGCUAACUACGUG